CCUUAGUGACUAAACCUUUGCAAUACAGCGUGAUUUGAUCUGUUUUACUGUGUUUGACUGUUAAUUUUGACAAUCUUGUUGCAGUAAUGGAAAUAUUACAGUAUGGGAUUCUGCUGAUGAUUAUUACAUAUGUUAGUGGUCAGUCAUUGACAUCUUCUGAAUCUGUGAUGAAGAAACCUGGAGAAUCAGUCACUCUGUCCUGUACUGUGUCUGGAUUCUCUAUGAGCAGCUACAACACGCACUGGAUCCGUCAGAAACCACAGAGAGGACUGGAAUGGAUCGGGCUAAUUGAUACUGGCACUGGCACUGCUUUUGCUCAGUCUCUUCAGGGUCAAUUCUCCAUUACUAAAGACACCAGCAGAAACAUACUGUACUUGCAGAUUAAAAGCCUGAAGGCUGAGGACACAGCUGUGUAUUAUUGUGCAAGAGACUCACAGUUAGACAAAAGACUGAAGUGCUGCACAAAAACGGAUCAUACUACAGUAUCUCUACAUGAAAACUCUCAAAUCUCAGACAACCAAAUUUGUGUUGCAGUGUACUGUAUACUUCAGCUAACAGCACUUUAA